rnacentral:rRNA from 1 species
UACGUAGGCAGCGAGCGUUGUUCGGAGUUACUGGGCGUAAAGGGUGUGUAGGCGGUUGUUUAAGUUUGGUGUGAAAUCUCCCGGCUCAACUGGGAGGGUGCGCCGAAUACUGAAUGACUAGAGUGUGGGAGAGGUGAGUGGAAUUCCUGGUGUAGCGGUGAAAUGCGUAGAUAUCAGGAGGAACACCGGUGGUGUAGACGGCUCACUGGACCAUAACUGACGCUGAGACACGAAAGCGUGGGGAGCGAACAGG